rnacentral:misc_RNA from 1 species
GAAUUGUUGUGAAGAUUUUUCAGAUGUGCUAUUGGCAUCAAUCUUUGCGUAGAUGUAGUAAAUUUAUUGUUAAUGGCAAUGCUUGCCUUAGGUUUAGGCUUGCCAAAUUGCUUGGCACCAACACAUAGGCCCAUGGAAAUGCUCUUAUUGUGUCCUCAAAAAUGGGAAGGAUAACAAAUUUUAACAUCUUGGUAAUCAAAAGUCUUUUGCUGCUAAGGCAGAUGAGGUUAAGGCAAGAAAUUGAAUUUCUAAAUAAGCUUAUGUAUUUGGAUUUUAUGGUAGGAAAAUCCGUAAAUUAACCAUAGUUGAACAAUGCCAUUCAAUAGUCAAUACAAGCAUCACCUUGAAGCAAUUGAUUAGGAGAUAAAUUUUGAUUGCUAUUCAUUUUCACAAGUAAAUCCAAUGUAAGUUGAUGAAAUUUAAUUAUUUUUACUAUUAUGUGAUGCUAAAAAG